rnacentral:rRNA from 1 species
CUGGCAGUCAGAGGCGAUGAAGGGCGUACUAAUCUGCGAUAAGCGCCGGUAAGGUGAUAUGAACCGUUAUAACCGGCGAUACCCGAAUGGGGAAACCCAGUGUGAUUCGUCACACUAUCAUUAACUGAAUCCAUAGGUUAAUGAGGCGAACCGGGGGAACUGAAACAUCUAAGUACCCCGAGGAAAAGAAAUCAACCGAGAUUCCCCCAGUAGCGGCGAGCGAACGGGGAGGAGCCCAGAGCCUGAAUCAGCAUGUGUGUUAGUGGAAGCGUCUGGAAAGGCGCGCGAUACAGGGUGACAGCCCCGUACACAAAAGCGCAUGUGCUGUGAGCUCGAUGAGUAGGGCGGGACACGUGGUAUCCUGUCUGAAUAUGGGGGGACCAUCCUCCAAGGCUAAAUACUCCUGACUGACCGAUAGUGAACCAGUACCGUGAGGGAAAGGCGAAAAGAACCCCGGCGAGGGGAGUGAAAAAGAACCUGAAACCGUGUACGUACAAGCAGUGGGAGCACCCUUUGGG